rnacentral:rRNA from 1 species
CCUACGGGAGGCAGCAGUGAGGAAUAUUGGUCAAUGGACGAGAGUCUGAACCAGCCAAGUAGCGUGAAGGAUGACUGCCCUAUGGGUUGUAAACUUCUUUUAUAUGGGAAUAAAGUGUUCCACGUGUGGGCUUUUGUAUGUACCAUAUGAAUAAGGGUCGGCUAACUCCGUGCCAUCAGCCGCGGUAAUACGGAGGGUCCGAUCGUUAUCCGGAUUUAUUGGGUUUAAAGGGAGCGUAGGUGGAUUGUUAAGUCAGUUGUGAAAGUUUGCGGCUCAACCGUAAAAUUGCAGUUGAAACUGGCAGGCUUGAGUACAGUAGAGGUGGGCGGAAUUCGUGGUGUAGCGGUGAAAUGCUUAGAUAUCACGAAGAACUCCGAUUGCGAAGGCAGCUCACUGGACUGCAACUGACACUGAGGCUCGAAAGUGUGGGUAUCAAACAGGAUUAGAUACCCCUGUAGUC